CUCCAGAGACAUUCUGUUUGUCCAGUGACAAACAGCCACUCAUUUUCCUGAGCUUUCCACAGUUAACCAAGCAGGCCAGCAGAAAGGGGAAUACCUUCCACCCUGCCCACAAACAAAUGCCAGCUUGGGGUGCCUGAAACCUUGCACUGAUGAGGAGCACUGAGCCCUUUUUAUACCAGGACAUGAUGUUUGUUUACUUUUGCAUGACACAUUGGAGCCCAACCUUCAAGAAGUGCAAUGGGGUCACUCCCUUACCGGAGCUCUCUGUGGCUGUUUGGCUCUGAGAUUUGGGCAUGUGAGGAGCCACAUCUUUCAGCAUCAGCAGAUUUACAGAAGACAUGCUCUGCUUUGAAACACGGGGAAAUUGAUCCUGCAGGGCUGUUUACUCCCGCAGCACACCUUGGAGUACUCCACAGCACCUGUGCCUUGCGUAAUUGCUGCUUCUCCCUCAACCAAACAUCAGCAAAAUUUGUACUAGGCAAAGGUGUAAUCACAGGGAGUGCUGCAGCCAAUUUUCACAGCUCAGACAUAAAAAAAAGAAAAAAGCUAAUUAGGAACAUCUAUUCUGGACCUGCCUGCGCUCUUUGUUUAUCACCUGCCCCCUGGAGCAGCACUGCUGGGGAGGGAGCUGGUUUGAGCAUGUGUGAUAACCUGGUACAUGCACACACUGCCCUGAGUGACACUGCAGCCCAUGAGACAACAUUCAAUGGAAAUUCAUCGAGUUCAAGUUCCCUGAGCUUUUAAAAUUGUUUCUCUUACAUGAUUCAUUGGCCUUAUUUAAUUUUCAUGUUCACACAUAGAAUUAAUGAGGAUAAUCCUCCACUCCCUGAGGUCUGCAAACAGAUCCUUCCCACCCCUGUGGGCUGCAGCUCCUUUGGCCCAGGCAGCAGUCAGAGCUGACCCCCAGCAGUCCCUUUCAUGGAGUGACACAUUUUCAUGCACAGGCAAGGUCUGGGCUGCCCCUGCUCUCUCAUGCCCAUCACCUCCCACCCUCCUCUGCAAUCCCAGGCCAUGGUUUGUUCUGGACUGAUCCCCACAUCAUGAAAUCUAGCAGAGCUCAUCUAGGAAUGCAAGGAAACUUCAUCAAGAAAUUAAUUUUUCAGGAAGUGUGCAAACCUUGGAAUUCUUCAUUUAGCAGACUUCUUCCCCCUUGUUUUUUG